GCCUGGCUGGCUCAGUCAGUGGAGCAUGGGACUCUUGAUCUCAGGGUUGUGAGUUCAAGCCCCACAUUGGGUG
rnacentral:tRNA from 1 species